AUCACUCAAGGUGAGUUCAUACCCCUACAUUUUUGUGACAACCGUCAAUUUUCGGUCAAGUCAAAGUCAACUAAAGUCAACAAGUCAAACCAGUCAACUCAAUUUGCCGUGAGUACUAAAGUUUACGUUAUGUAACUUCUAAACAACUCUCUAUUCUAAUGAGAGAUCAUAAAUCGAAAAGUGCGUUCACCUAGAUCUCCUUAACCCAAAACGGUGGCGUGGAAAGCCAAACCUAUACAACAAUGUUACAUACUCAUCGGGAGUAUGCAAGAUCCCUAAUCAAGGCUUAACGGGGUUUAAGGACCUUGCAGUGCGUAGCUGGACACUCAAAAAGGUCGCCAGUGAAAUCUCUCCCACAUAUCUUUAAGUAUGUGAAACCUCUCCCACAUAUCUUUAAGUAUGUGAAACCUCUCCCACAUAUCUCUAAGUAUGUGAAACCUCUCCCACAUAUCUCUAAGUAUGUGAAACCUCUCCCACAUAUAUCUAAGUAUGUGAAACCUCUCCCAAAUCUCUCUAAGCAUGUCAAAUCUCUCCCAAAUCUCCCUAAGUAUGUGAAAUCUCUCCCAAAUCUCUCUCCGUAUGUGAAAUCUCUCCAAGUAUGUCAAAUCUCUCCCAAAUCUCCCUAAGUAUGUGAAAUCUCUCCCAAAUCUCUCUCCGUAUGUGAAAUCUCUCCCAGAUCUCUCUCUGUAUGUGAAAUCUCUCCAAGUAUGUCAAAUCUCUCCCAAAUCUCCCUAAGUAUGUGAAAUCUCUCCCAAAUCUCUCUCUGUAUGUGAAAUCUCUCCAAGUAUGUCAAAUCUCUCCCAAAUCUCCCUAAGUAUGUGAAAUCUCUCCCAAAUCUCUCUCCGUAUGUGAAAUCUCUCCAAGUAUGUCAAAUCUCUCCCAAAUCUCCCUAAGUAUGUGAAAUCUCUCCCAAAUCUCUCUCUGUAUGUGAAAUCUCUCCAAGUAUGUCAAAUCUCUCCCAAAUCUCUCUAAGUAUGUGAAAUCUCUCCCAAAUCUCUCUAAGUAUGUGAAAUCUCUCUCACGUAUCUCUUUGUAUGUGAAAUCUCUCCAAGUACGUCAAAUCUCUCCCAAAUCUCUCUGAGAACGAGGAAUCUCUCUCAAAUCUCUCUCGAAAUCUCUCCCCGACUUUCUAUAAUCACUCGGGGCAUCCCGACCCUCGAAUUUGGCGAAAAAUAGCCCAAGAAUGGAAGUCUACGCGAAAAACGGACUUAAGGAAACGAACCCUCCGAACCGAAAGUACUAUUCAUG
rnacentral:lncRNA from 1 species